GUCACUUCUGGGCCAUUAAGCUAAGAUCCAGUGUAGUAUCCGUUGUUAUCAGUUUAAUGUCUGAUACACCUCCAUCUGAGAACAAUAUAUUAAGUAGAUUUUGGGAUUAGGAAGAUGGACUAGAAGUUUAUUGCAUCCACUCCACUCAUCAACUUGGUAUUGCAAAAUCUGAAAUAGAGAAGAAAAACCC
ensembl:snRNA U2 U2 spliceosomal RNA